UACGGAGGGAGCUAGCGUUGUUCGGAAUUACUGGGCGUAAAGCGCGCGUAGGCGGCUUUGUAAGUUAGAGGUGAAAGCCCGGGGCUCAACCCCGGAACUGCCUUUAAGACUGCAUCGCUUGAAUCCAGGAGAGGUGAGUGGAAUUCCGAGUGUAGAGGUGAAAUUCGUAGAUAUUGGGAAGAACACCGGUGGCGAAGGCGGCGACCUGGUCCUUGACUGACGCUGAGGCGCGAAAGCGUGGGGAGCAAACAGG
rnacentral:rRNA from 1 species